rnacentral:rRNA from 1 species
GAUGAACGCUAGCGGCAGGCUUAACACAUGCAAGUCGAGGGGCAGCGCGGGAUAGCAAUAUCCUGGCGGCGACCGGCGGAAGGGUGCGUAACGCGUGAGCGACAUGCCCGUUGCCCGGGGACAACCGGUGGAAACGCCGACUAAUCCCCGAUGGGAUACGAUGCUUCAUGGCAUUGUAUUGAAAGUUACGGCGGCGACGGAUUGGCUCGCGUCCGAUUAGCUGGUUGGCGGGGUAACGGCCCACCAAGGCUGCGAUCGGUAGGGGUUCUGAGAGGAAGGCCCCCCACAAUGGGACUGAGACACGGCCCAUACUCCUACGGGAGGCAGCAGUGAGGAAUAUGGGUCAAUGGGCGGAAGCCUGAACCAGCCAUGCCGCGUGCGGGAAGGAGGCCCUAUGGGCUGUGAACCGCUUUUGCCUGGGGGCAAUAAGGGCGUCGCGCACGUCCGAUGAGAGUACCAGGCGAAUAAGCAUCGGCUAACUCCGUG